ensembl:lincRNA Malat1 metastasis associated lung adenocarcinoma transcript 1 (non-coding RNA)
AUCCUCUUCAGCUUCAUGCUGGAGCAGCUAGCAUGUGAUGUAAUGUUGGCCUUGGGGUGGAGGGGUGAGGUGGGCGCUAAGCCUUUUUUUAAGAUUUUUCAGGUACCCCUCACUAAAGGCACUGAAGGCUUAAUGUAGGACAGCGGAGCCUUCCUGUGUGGCAAGAAUCAAGCAAGCAGUAUUGUAUCGAGACCAAAGUGGUAUCAUGGUCGGUUUUGAUUAGCAGUGGGGACUACCCUACCGUAACACCUUGUUGGAAUUGAAGCAUCCAAAGAAAAUACUUGAGAGGCCCUGGGCUUGUUUUAACAUCUGGAAAAAAGGCUGUUUUUAUAGCAGCGGUUACCAGCCCAAACCUCAAGUUGUGCUUGCAGGGGAGGGAAAAGGGGGAAAGCGGGCAACCAGUUUCCCCAGCUUUUCCAGAAUCCUGUUACAAGGUCUCCCCACAAGUGAUUUCUCUGCCACAUCACCACCAUGGGCCUUUGGCCUAAUCACAGACCCUUCACCCCUCACCUUGAUGCAGCCAGUAGCUGGAUCCUUGAGGUCACGUUGCAUAUCGGUUUCAAGGUUAUGCCCAAUUCGUCUUAUUACCUCUGGUCGACACACCUCCUACUAUUUAUUGAAUACUUUGAUUUUAUGAAAUAAAAACUAAAUAUCU